ensembl:snRNA U1 U1 spliceosomal RNA
AUACGUACCUGGCAGGGAGAUGCCACAAUUCCUAAGAUUGUUUUCCCAGGGCAAGCCUUAUCUAUUUCAGGACAGAUGUACUGAUCCCUGAGAUACCUUCAAAUAUGGGAGACUCUACUGCACAAUUUGUGGUAGUGCAGGACUGUGUUCACGCUCUCUUCUG